UUGCUUCUCUGAUGUUAGCGGCGGACGGGUGAGUAACACGUGGAUAACCUACCUAUAAGACUGGGAUAACUUCGGGAAACCGGAGCUAAUACCGGAUAAUAUUUUGAACCGCAUGGUUCAAAAGUGAAAGACGGUCUUGCUGUCACUUAUAGAUGGAUCCGCGCUGCAUUAGCUAGUUGGUAAGGUAACGGCUUACCAAGGCAACGAUGCAUAGCCGACCUGAGAGGGUGAUCGGCCACACUGGAACUGAGACACGGUCCAGACUCCUACGGGAGGCAGCAGUAGGGAAUCUUCCGCAAUGGGCGAAAGCCUGACGGAGCAACGCCGCGUGAGUGAUGAAGGUCUUCGGAUCGUAAAACUCUGUUAUUAGGGAAGAACAUAUGUGUAAGUAACUGUGCACAUCUUGACGGUACCUAAUCAGAAAGCCACGGCUAACUACGUGCCAGCAGCCGCGGUAAUACGUAGGUGGCAAGCGUUAUCCGGAAUUAUUGGGCGUAAAGCGCGCGUAGGCGGUUUUUUAAGUCUGAUGUGAAAGCCCACGGCUCAACCGUGGAGGGUCAUUGGAAACUGGAAAACUUGAGUGCAGAAGAGGAAAGUGGAAUUCCAUGUGUAGCGGUGAAAUGCGCAGAGAUAUGGAGGAACACCAGUGGCGAAGGCGACUUUCUGGUCUGUAACUGACGCUGAUGUGCGAAAGCGUGGGGAUCAAACAGGAUUAGAUACCCUGGUAGUCCACGCCGUAAACGAUGAGUGCUAAGUGUUAGGGGGUUUCCGCCCCUUAGUGCUGCAGCUAACGCAUUAAGCACUCCGCCUGGGGAGUACGACCGCAAGGUUGAAACUCAAAGGAAUUGACGGGGACCCGCACAAGCGGUGGAGCAUGUGGUUUAAUUCGAAGCAACGCGAAGAACCUUACCAAAUCUUGACAUCCUUUGACAACUCUAGAGAUAGAGCCUUCCCCUUCGGGGGACAAAGUGACAGGUGGUGCAUGGUUGUCGUCAGCUCGUGUCGUGAGAUGUUGGGUUAAGUCCCGCAACGAGCGCAACCCUUAAGCUUAGUUGCCAUCAUUAAGUUGGGCACUCUAAGUUGACUGCCGGUGACAAACCGGAGGAAGGUGGGGAUGACGUCAAAUCAUCAUGCCCCUUAUGAUUUGGGCUACACACGUGCUACAAUGGACAAUACAAAGGGCAGCGAAACCGCGAGGUCAAGCAAAUCCCAUAAAGUUGUUCUCAGUUCGGAUUGUAGUCUGCAACUCGACUACAUGAAGCUGGAAUCGCUAGUAAUCGUAGAUCAGCAUGCUACGGUGAAUACGUUCCCGGGUCUUGUACACACCGCCCGUCACACCACGAGAGUUUGUAACACCCGAAGCCGGUGGAGUAACCUUUUAGGAGCUAGCCGUCGAAGGUGGGACAAAUGAUUGGGGUGAAGUCGUAACAAGGUAGCCGUAUCGGAAGGUGCGGCUGGAUCACCU
rnacentral:rRNA from 1 species